rnacentral:misc_RNA from 1 species
UUUUAUUUUCAUAAAGAAUACAAACAUAAAUGAUUACUCAAUAAUAAUAAUAAUAACAACAACAACAACUCGGGUGCUACUCAACAACUGACUACAAUUAGUCGUUUAAAACUUCAAUGAACCCAAAAUCAUAAAACAAUUAAUAUUUUUUAUUGCUGAACCUUUAAGCAAAUGGAUUCCCCCCCAUAGAAGCAACUGAUCCUUGUGCUUGGACAUUCGCUAAUUGAGGACUUGGUGCUUGUCCUGCCAUAUAUGCCAAGCCACCUUGUGGUACAGCUGGAAUAUAAGUUGUCGCUGAAUCUUGAGGAAACCAUGGUUCAGUCACACCGCCAAGGAAGGGUGAUGGCAAGUGAGGAUUAGGCAGUGCAGAUUGGAAGGAGCUCAUGUCCAAGAACAUGUUGCCUGGCUCCAAAUCAGAAUCAUAUGG